rnacentral:rRNA from 1 species
GACGAACGCUGGCGGCGUGCUUAACACAUGCAAGUCGAACGGUGAAGCGCCUUCCUUUUUGGUGGGUGUGGAUGAGUGGCGAACGGGUGAGUAACACGUGAGUAACCUGCCCCCUUCUUCUGGAUAACCGCAUGAAAGUGUGGCUAAUACGGGAUAUUCUGGGUCUGUCGCAUGAUGGGUCUGGGAAAGAUAUUGUUUCGGUGGGGCAUGGGCUCGCGGCCUAUCAGCUUGUUGGUGGGGUGAUGGCCUACCAAGGCGGUGACGGGUAGCCGGCCUGAGAGGGUGGACGGUCACACUGGGACUGAGACACGGCCCAGACUCCUACGGGAGGCAGCAGUGGGGAAUAUUGCACAAUGGGCGCAAGCCUGAUGCAGCGACGCCGCGUGAGGGAUGGAGGCCUGCGGGUUGUGAACCUCUUUCGCCAGUGAAGCAGGCCUGCCUCGUUUGUGGGUGGGUUGACGGUAGCUGGAUAAGAAGCGCCGGCUAACUACGUG